CUACGGGAGGCACCAGUGGGGAAUAUUGCGCAAUGGAGGCAACUCUGACGCAGCCAUGCCGCGUGCAGGAAGAAGGCCUUAUGGGUCGUAAACUGCUUUUAUUUAGGAAUAAACCCCCGAACGUGUUCGGGGCUGAAGGUACUAAACGAAUAAGCACCGGCUAACUCCGUGCCAGCAGCCGCGGUAAUACGGAGGGUGCAAGCGUUAUCCGGAUUUAUUGGGUUUAAAGGGUGCGCAGGCGGGCUAUUAAGUCAGUGGUGAAAUCCCGGGGCUCAACUCCGGAACUGCCAUUGAUACUGAUAGUCUUGAGUUUGGUUGAAGUGGGCGGAAUGUAGCAUGUAGCGGUGACAUGCAUAGAUAUGCUACAGAACACCAAUCGCGAAGGCAGCUCACUAAGCCAAAACUGACGCUCAUGCACGAAAGCGUGGGGAUCAAACAGGAUUAGAUACCCGCGUAGUC
rnacentral:rRNA from 1 species